UGCAUCCAGUUUGUCUUCCCAGCUGCUGGCCCUGUUGACCAAUAGAAGCCUUGAAUGAUUUUAAGUGCUUGGCUGAGAAGCUACACAGGUGUUAAAUACAUAGACGCACUUAGGAUAGCUUGUUAGCUUCUUCAACCAAUUUAAUGAUGAUACAUCUAACUUUUCACUAACCUUUUUUCCAACUCACUAUCAUCACUCCUUCUAAUCUUAACAGAUUGACUAUUGCUUCUCAUAACCAUAGCGAGCCAAUAUCACCUCUCCAAAGAGUCAUUCCCAUUAAAAAAAAAACUUUACAUCUCAAUACUAAUUUCCCUACAAAUAUUAUAAAUUAUAACAUUUCCUGCCACAGAAUUAUCAUAUUUUAUAUCCUCUUUGAAGCCACACUAGUCCCCACCCUAGUUAUUAUUACCUGCCGAGGCAAUCAAACAGAAUGCCUUAACACAGGACUACACUUUUUAUGCUAUAUGCUGGUUGGAUCUCUAUCCUUACCCAUAGUAUUCAUUUAUACCCUAACUUCCCUAGGCUCCCUAAAUAUACUAAUUACAUCAUAUAGUGCUCAAGAAAUAAUAACUUCCUAAUCCAAUAGUCUUUUAUGACUAUGAUACUCCACAGCAUUUAUAGUAAAAAUAUACCUCUAUGGACUCCAUCUAUGACUGCCAAAAGCCCACAUACAGGCCCCCAUUGCUGGGUCAAUAGUCCUCCCAGCAGUACUCCUAAAAUUAGGUGGCUAUGGAAUAAUGCAAGUCAACUUAAUCCUUAAACCCCUAAGAGAAUUUAUAUCAUACCCCUUCUUCAUACUAUCCGUAUGAGGAAUAAUUAUAACGAGCUUCAUCUGCCUGCACCAAACUGAUCUAAAGUCACUCAUUGCCUACUCCUCUGAAAGCCUCAUAGCACUUGUUAUCAUAGCCAUCCUCAUCCAAACCUCCUGAAGUUGUGUAGGCGUAAUGGCCCUAAUAAUUGCCCAUUGACUCACCUCAUCCAUAUUAUUCUGCGUUGCAAACUCAAACUAUGAACGAGUCCAUAGCCAAACCAUACUGCUAGCCUGGGGCCUUCAAAAACUCCUCCCACCACAUGAUGAUAAUAGCCACAUGACGACUCUCCAACUUCGCCCAACCUCAAACCUCAACAACCUCCAAUUUAACUCACUUUUCCCUACCCCCAUCAUUAAUCUAGUAGGAGAAAUUUUCAUAACCAUAGCCUCAUUCUCUUGAUCUAACCUUACCAUUAUGUUUAUAGAAUGUAAUAUAUUACUCACAGCCCUUUAUUCUCUGUAUAUAUUAAUUAUUACACAAUGAAGAGUAUUCACAUAUCACGCUGAUAAUAUUAAAUCAUCCCCAUGUGAGAAAAUACCCUAAUAUGUAAACAUUUUCUACCCCUUCUCCUAUUAUCACUAAACCCUAAGGUAAUUUUGGGGUUCAUAUAAUGUAGCUGUAGUUUAAUUAAAACAUUCGACUAUGGAUCUAAUA
rnacentral:lncRNA from 10 species